UUGACAGUAGAACAGGAACUAGAUUUCUAUAAGAAGAAUUCCAACUCUUCACUAAGAUCUUGUCAUUCUUUCUGAAUGCAGAACUCAUCUGGAUUUCUCAGCCUCUCCUGUAAUUCAGUAUGGCCAUGUGACUAGGUUUGAGCCAAUGGAUUAUGAGAGGAAGUUAUGUGCGCCACAUCAGGUCCUAGCCCACAAGACUGUCCAGCCUGUGCCAUGUUCACUUCUUCAGCUAAAAUAACAGGAAUUGAGAUAGCCUUGGAACCAGUACAUUGAAUAUGGCAGAGCCAGUAAGUUCCUGAGUCCCUAAAAGACCACACGAGGGAGAAAUACACCCCCUAUUUCCAAACGGCAACCACCUCUGCUGACCUGGAAUAUCCCUGCUAGAUUCUCAGACACUUCUCUCUGUCUUCCUUCACCGGGUCAGAGUGGCCAAGAAGCAGAAAGGCAGUUUCCAGCUCCGGAAGUGGGGGACCAUGCACAAGUUAUACAGCAUUGAUGAUUUGCACCUUCUCAUCUGCGAAAUGGGAAGAACCUCCCAGCUUUGUCUUCUCCAGCCAAUUGCCUGAAGUCGUGUGAAGUUCAGCAAGAUGAUGCAUGCGAGAGUAUCAUGAGAACACAGAACAGCCAACACAAAAUAAGACGCACUAGGCCACUUGUCCUGCAUCUGCUGACCAUCAACAUGACCCAGAGGGCUUGGCCUGUGAAACCCAGACUGCUGGAGCCCAUCCUCAGAUUCUCUGCUUGGCUGUCUGGGAUGAGUCUGGGAAUUGACAGUUCUAACAGUUCUCAGCUGCUGCUGCUGUUGCUGGUUACCAGGCACGUUUGAGAGCUACCACCCUAUGUCAAUCUCCUCCCUGAUCAGAGUACUAUCAAAGUCAUCUCCUUCUGUGUGAAGGAGGGUGAUGGUGUGCAUUGAAUUUUGAUCCCUAACAGCCACCCUAGGAACAUCUCAAACACACAAUAGGAAACUGUCCUUCUCAGGGAAGUUGUUUAUACCCUGCUAGGCUCCUGAUGGGUUGGCUGGAGGUGUCAAGCUGGGGAGCCCUGGUGAGAGCUGAGCACCAGGGUGGAUGAGAUGCACAGGUAAAGUCAGAGCAGCCCCCAAACAGGAUGGGAGCAUGAGUCACAGCGGCGAGAUCUGAGAAGCAAUAUUACGACAGAGAGGACUGCGUGGCCAGGGACAGCCAGCUCAGCGACAAACUCUCUCAUCCUCAGGAACAAAAGCACACCAUGUACUUCGAGCAAACCUCCAGGGAAUGUUCUAGCCCAGAUCGGCUGACAGGCUGGCGGGAGUUUUUCUCUUCUGCAGUGAGGGAGCCGUUCUCCCGGAUGCCUUUCAGAGGGUGGCUGUGGCCGACAACAUCAUCAUUUCCCCUGGAAAAUGUCCUCUCCUUCUCUCAUUCUCAUUCACCAUCCUGUGCUCCCUAAAGGAGAAAGAAAGAAAAUGAAUAGCGAUCCUCCACAUGUUCCUCCAGCCAUCGCAUGACCAUGGGCCUGGAACACCAGGUUGGGGUCCAGGUGCAGCCUCUCUCUUGCCCGACUCAACUGCCCACAGCGGGCUGCUGUGGUUCCAGAUGACGAGGGCACUUGGUAGCCCUGUGCACCAGCUGUGGGCGGGCACUGAGAUGCCACUAUCAUGUGGAUUAAGCACUGUCUUCUCUGUGUUAUGGGAAGACUGGGACUGGGACUAAGACGCCUGUAGGUCACUUGGCAGCCAUGGCUGUCCCCAGAAUCUCCAUGGGGAAUGGGGCAAGUGCAGAGCCAGACACCCUUGCUGCUCUUCCUUGAUAUUCUGCCUCCAAAGCUCUCUGGGGUAUUCUACCGCCCUCUUGCCUGGUCACAGAACAGUCUGGACUCUUCAGAUAUGCAAGUGAAUCAUUUUCCAUCCAUCAGAGAUGAGACUUAAAUAAAUAAAAAGGUUCCCUGUUGGUAUUUUUCCACUCAGUAUCAUCCAGAAAAUAUUCCAAGGACUGGUUGACAUCCUUGGACACAGAGUGGGAAGAGAAGAGGGAACUUGAGUGCAGCAUGUGACAAGGAGAGCUGGGAACCCGGAGCUGUCUGGCGGGACUCUGAUGGCAGGGAUGUAUCAUCUCUUGGAGUCCGGGUGCCCAAGACAUUUCAUUCCCACAGGACUCCAAGCAGAGGGGAAAGGGGCAGAGCCUGGUUUCACAUCUAGCUUCUGCUGUCUUUCUGCUCUGUGUCCCUGAGCCAAUGACCUGACUUUCCAGAAUUUCAGCAUCUUCAUGGUGGGAAGGAUGAUGUCAUCUUCCUUAUAGGAACCGUGGUGAGGAUUUGACAUCAAGCACAUCCAGGGGUUCAUACCAGGUUGGGGGGAGAAGAGAAUCAUUAUGGUCUUCAUCGUUACCAGGGCAUCAGAACUUACACCUCACCUGUGAGAGGGAUGCAGUCAGCAUCAGUUCCCCUCCCACACUGAGUUUCCAUUUCUUCCUUUUUAAAUCCAUAGGGUAAAUCGUGAUUUUUAGGUACUGACAACGUAGACCCUGCUGACUCCAUUCAACACCAGAAAUCCUCAAAGUAGGGGAAGGGAAGCUUAUGGGUUUCUCAAACUAGCAUAAUAACAGUGAGGAUCAAGGAGCAAGAGAAGGUGACUAGGUCCCCCGGAGGUGGGAUGGACAGGUAGAGAAACAUCAACCCAGAGGAGAUGUCCAGGCCAAAUCACUGCCAGCCAAUGGACACAAAGACAGCAUGAGAACGGCACCUUGGAUGCUUUGGUCAGCUGAAGAGGCAUAUGUAGGACUUCUUCCUCAUUGAGACUAAACAGUCAACUAAAUAGAGUCCCCACUUCUAGUCUUCUGCAAGAGGACAAUUGCCCUUUAGAGCAAUAGAAGUGAUUGUACUAAUAGGGAAGGCAAUAAAAGGAGCUGUGAUUCUUGG